rnacentral:rRNA from 1 species
GUUAGGAAUAUUGGACAAUGAGCGAAAGCCUGAUCCAGCCAUGCCGCGUGAACGAUGAAGGCCUUCGGGUUGUAAAGUUCUUUAGCCGAUGAUUAUAAUGACUGUAGUCGGAAAAUAAGCCCCGGCUAACUUCGUGCCAGCAGCCGCGGUAAUACGAAGGGGGCGAGCGUUAUUCGGAAUCACUGGGCGUAAAGCGUGCGUAGGCGGUCUCGUAAGUUAGGAGUGAAAGCCCAGGGCUCAACCUUGGAAUUGCUCUUAAUACUGCAAGGCUAGAAUCUCGGAGAGGAUAGCGGAAUUUCCAGUGUAGCAGUGAAAUGCGUAGAUAUUGGAAGGAACACCAGUGGCGUAAGCGGCUAUCUGGACGAGUAUUGACGCUGAGGCACGAAAGCGUGGGGAUCAAACAGGAUUAGAAACCCUGGUAGUCC